rnacentral:rRNA from 1 species
AAUGGGUCAGCGACUUAUAUUCUGUAGCAAGGUUAACCGAAUAGGGGAGCCGAAGGGAAACCGAGUCUUAACUGGGCGUUAAGUUGCAGGGUAUAGACCCGAAACCCGGUGAUCUAGCCAUGGGCAGGUUGAAGGUUGGGUAACACUAACUGGAGGACCGAACCGACUAAUGUUGAAAAAUUAGCGGAUGACUUGUGGCUGGGGGUGAAAGGCCAAUCAAACCGGGAGAUAGCUGGUUCUCCCCGAAAGCUAUUUAGGUAGCGCCUCGUGAAUUCAUCUCCGGGGGUAGAGCACUGUUUCGGCAAGGGGGUCAUCCCGACUUACCAACCCGAUGCAAACUGCGAAUACCGGAGAAUGUUAUCACGGGAGACACACGGCGGGUGCUAACGUCCGUCGUGAAGAGGGAAACAACCCAGACCGCCAGCUAAGGUCCCAAAGUCAUGGUUAAGUGGGAAACGAUGUGGGAAGGCCCAGACAGCCAGGAUGUUGGCUUAGAAGCAGCCAUCAUUUAAAGAAAGCGUAAUAGCUCACUGGUCGAGUCGGCCUGCGCGGAAGAUGUAACGGGGCUAAACCAUGCACCGAAGCUGCGGCAGCGACACUAUGUGUUGUUGGGUAGGGGAGCGUUCUGUAAGCCUGUGAAGGUGUACUGUGAGGUAUGCUGGAGGUAUCAGAAGUGCGAAUGCUGACAUAAGUAACGAUAAAGCGGGUGAAAAGCCCGCUCGCCGGAAGACCAAGGGUUCCUGUCCAACGUUAAUCGGGGCAGGGUGAGUCGACCCCUAAGGCGAGGCCGAAAGGCGUAGUCGAUGGGAAACAGGUUAAUAUUCCUGUACUUGGUGUUACUGCGAAGGGGGGACGGAGAAGGCUAUGUUGGCCGGGCGACGGUUGUCCCGGUUUAAGCGUGUAGGCUGGUUUUCCAGGCAAAUCCGGAAAAUCAAGGCUGAGGCGUGAUGACGAGGCACUACGGUGCUGAAGCAACAAAUGCCCUGCUUCCAGGAAAAGCCUCUAAGCAUCAGGUAACAUCAAAUCGUACCCCAAACCGACACAGGUGGUCAGGUAGAGAAUACCAAGGCGCUUGAGAGAACUCGGGUGAAGGAACUAGGCAAAAUGGUGCCGUAACUUCGGGAGAAGGCACGCUGAUAUGUAGGUGAAGUCCCUCGCGGAUGGAGCUGAAAUCAGUCGAAGAUACCAGCUGGCUGCAACUGUUUAUUAAAAACACAGCACUGUGCAAACACGAAAGUGGACGUAUACGGUGUGACGCCUGCCCGGUGCCGGAAGGUUAAUUGAUGGGGUUAGCGGUAACGCGAAGCUCUUGAUCGAAGCCCCGGUAAACGGCGGCCGUAACUAUAACGGUCCUAAGGUAGCGAAAUUCCUUGUCGGGUAAGUUCCGACCUGCACGAAUGGCGUAAUGAUGGCCAGGCUGUCUCCACCCGAGACUCAGUGAAAUUGAACUCGCUGUGAAGAUGCAGUGUACCCGCGGCAAGACGGAAAGACCCCGUGAACCUUUACUAUAGCUUGACACUGAACAUUGAGCCUUGAUGUGUAGGAUAGGUGGGAGGCUUUGAAGUGUGGACGCCAGUCUGCAUGGAGCCGACCUUGAAAUACCACCCUUUAAUGUUUGAUGUUCUAACGUUGGCCCGUUAUCCGGGUUGCGGACAGUGUCUGGUGGGUAGUUUGACUGGGGCGGUCUCCUCCUAAAGAGUAACGGAGGAGCACGAAGGUUGGCUAAUCCUGGUCGGACAUCAGGAGGUUAGUGCAAUGGCAUAAGCCAGCUUGACUGCGAGCGUGACGGCGCGAGCAGGUGCGAAAGCAGGUCAUAGUGAUCCGGUGGUUCUGAAUGGAAGGGCCAUCGCUCAACGGAUAAAAGGUACUCCGGGGAUAACAGGCUGAUACCGCCCAAGAGUUCAUAUCGACGGCGGUGUUUGGCACCUCGAUGUCGGCUCAUCACAUCCUGGGGCUGAAGUAGGUCCCAAGGGUAUGGCUGUUCGCCAUUUAAAGUGGUACGCGAGCUGGGUUUAGAACGUCGUGAGACAGUUCGGUCCCUAUCUGCCGUGGGCGCUGGAGAACUGAGGGGGGCUGCUCCUAGUACGAGAGGACCGGAGUGGACGCAUCACUGGUGUUCGGGUUGUCAUGCCAAUGGCACUGCCCGGUAGCUAAAUGCGGAAGAGAUAAGUGCUGAAAGCAUCUAAGCACGAAACUUGCCCCGAGAUGAGUUCUCCCUGACUCCUUGAGAGUCCUGAAGGAACGUUGAAGACGACGACGUUGAUAGGCCGGGUGUGUAAGCGCAGCGAUGCGUUGAGCUAACCGGUACUAAUGAACCGUGAGGCUUAACCUU